UACGGAGGGUCCAAGCGUUGUCCGGAAUCACUGGGUGUAAAGGGUGCGUAGGCGGUCUGUUGCGUCGGCUGUGAAAACCCGAGGCUCAACCUCGGGCCUGCAGCCGAUACGGGCAGACUAGAGUUCGGCAGGGGAGACUGGAAUUCCUGGUGUAGCGGUGAAAUGCGCAGAUAUCAGGAGGAACACCGGUGGCGAAGGCGGGUCUCUGGGCCGAUACUGACGCUGAGGAGCGAAAGCGUGGGGAGCGAACAGG
rnacentral:rRNA from 1 species